rnacentral:rRNA from 1 species
GACGAACGCUGGCGGCGUGCUUAACACAUGCAAGUCGAACGGAAAGGCCCUGCUUUUGUGGGGUGCUCGAGUGGCGAACGGGUGAGUAACACGUGAGUAACCUGCCCUUGACUUUGGGAUAACUUCAGGAAACUGGGGCUAAUACCGGAUAGGAGCGCCUGCUGUAUGGUGGGGGUUGGAAAGUUUCGGCGGUUGGGGAUGGACUCGCGGCUUAUCAGCUUGUUGGUGGGGUAGUGGCUUACCAAGGCUUUGACGGGUAGCCGGCCUGAGAGGGUGACCGGCCACAUUGGGACUGAGAUACGGCCCAGACUCCUACGGGAGGCAGCAGUGGGGAAUAUUGCACAAUGGGCGGAAGCCUGAUGCAGCAACGCCGCGUGCGGGAUGACGGCCUUCGGGUUGUAAACCGCUUUCGCCUGUGACGAAGCGUGAGUGACGGUAAUGGGUAAAGAAGCACCGGCUAACUACGUG